UCUACUCUCAGAAAACUGCGUGGUCCCCAGA
rnacentral:piRNA from 1 species